rnacentral:lncRNA from 1 species
GGGGGAUUGGCAUGCCUUGUUCCAGGCUCGUGAGGGUGAAAUCUAGGCUCUGCCCACAGACUUUGCAAUUUUCUGAACUUUGGUGGAAUUAAAGUACUUCAGAAGUGAAUAUCAAAUGAAGAAAAAAAUCAGGCAGCUGCAUAUGUUGGCAUGAUUGAUGAGAUCUGCUACAGUCAAGCAAGCAGCCCUGGGUGACCAGUUUACCCUCCCCGGCUAGGGUUCCAGCUGCCAGUUGCUCCCAUUCUGUGACAGCUUCUCCUUCUCCUCACCUUGUCAUCAAGCCAAGAUUGUACACUGUAGGAGUACAGGUCAUGAAUAGAAGCUUGAGGUGAAGAAGCUUUAUAUACUCUGGCUCAUGUUUCCCCUACCCUGAAUCCGAGAAGAUAGACAGAAAGACAACCAUAUUUGUAGAGGUGGUUCAAAAUCUUCACCAAGGGCCACAGUUUCCCGUCAUUUAUCUGCAUAUAGCUCUCAGGGAAAUACCUGUUGGGAUAAGCAUGUGAUACAGCUAACAACAAAAGAGUAAAACAUGCCUGAAGUGGAA